UACGAAGGGGGCUAGCGUUGUUCGGAAUCACUGGGCGUAAAGCGCACGUAGGCGGAUCUUUAAGUCAGGGGUGAAAUCCCGAGGCUCAACCUCGGAACUGCCUUUGAUACUGGGGAUCUCGAGUCCGGGAGAGGAGAGUGGAAUUCCUGGUGUAGCGGUGAAAUGCGUAGAUAUCUGGAGGAACACCGGUGGCGAAGGCGGCAUCCUGGACCAUAACUGACACUGAUAAGCGAAAGCCAGGGGAGCAAACGGG
rnacentral:rRNA from 1 species